rnacentral:misc_RNA from 1 species
GGAAGCACAGGGAAAAUCUUAUACUGAUGGACAGAUAUCAUUUCUUUACCUCAAGUUGUCGACAAUUCGGUUUGAAAUGUAAAUCACUUUCUGAACAGAAAAGUGAUGAAAAUGAAGCUGAGGGAGCGCUUGCCUCUGUCCUAGAAGUACUGCAAAGGAUCCACAGACUAUUCUUCGACCCGGAACGUGGGGACAAUAUUAUGGAGCGGGAUGUUAGGCAGGUGCUGAAAACUGUUCGUAAGGAAAUACUGAAGGGCUGUAAAAUCGUCUUCACUGGUGUAAUUCCCAUACAAUGCCAACCAGAAAACCACUACUACUGGAAAUUGGCUGAGAAAUUAGGAGCUACAUUCUCCACAGAAGUCGAUGAAUCGGUGACACAUGUGGUCUCCAUGAAUGACAAGACUGAAAAGUCACGUCAGGCAGUGCGGGAGAAGAAGUUUUUGGUCCAUCCAAGAUGGAUUGAAGCUGCUAACUACUUGUGGCGAAAGCCGCCUGAAGAGAACUUCCCAGUCAGUUCAUAACUAAGCUAACUUGACUUAGUUGUAAAUUCUAGUAGAAUGCUUCUGGUUUCAUUAACCAACAGAUGAAGAAAAAUAGUUCGCGCCCGAGGGAAUCAAACCAAACUCUGGCUAGCCGUUUUCACAGAUCUCUUGAAUUUUGUCAACCAAAUUCAUGUGAUUGUGUGGCAUUCUGGAUGCUGAUUUUGC